AUCACCCGGGGAUCUUGUUAAAGUGCAGAUUCUGAAUCUGCAGUAGAGCCCGAGAUUCUGCAUUUCUCUCAAGCUCCCAGGUGAAACUGC
rnacentral:pre_miRNA from 1 species